UGGGAAGGCCUAUCUGGAGACGUAUGUGC
rnacentral:sRNA from 1 species